rnacentral:rRNA from 1 species
UGCGCAGGCGGUUUUUGUAAGACUGUCGUGAAAUCCCCGGGCUCAACCUGGGAAUGGCGAUGGUGACUGCAAGGCUAGAGUUUGGCAGAGGGGGGUAGAAUUCCACGUGUAGCAGUGAAAUGCGUAGAUAUGUGGAGGAACACCGAUGGCGAAGGCAGCCCCCUGGGUCAAAACUGACGCUCAUGCACGAAAGCGUGGGGAGCAAACAGGAUUAGAUACCCUGGUAGUCCACGCCCUAAACGAUGUCUACUAGUUGUCGGGUCUUAAUUGACUUGGUAACGCAGCUAACGCGUGAAGUAGACCGCCUGGGGAGUACGGUCGCAAGAUUAAA